rnacentral:rRNA from 1 species
AGAGUUUGAUCAUGGCUCAGGACGAACGCUGGCGGCGUGCCUAAUACAUGCAAGUCGAGCGGACCGAAAGGAGAGCUCGCUCUCCUUUCGGUCAGCGGCGGACGGGUGAGUAACACGUGGGUAACCUGCCUGUAAGACCGGGAUAACUCGCGGAAACGCGAGCUAAUACCGGAUAGGUCCCGUGGCCGCAUGGCGACGGGAGGAAAGAUGGCGCGAGCUAUCGCUUACAGAUGGGCCCGCGGCGCAUUAGCUAGUUGGUGGGGUAACGGCCCACCAAGGCGACGAUGCGUAGCCGACCUGAGAGGGUGAUCGGCCACAUUGGGACUGAGACACGGCCCAAACUCCUACGGGAGGCAGCAGUAGGGAAUCUUCCGCAAUGGGCGAAAGCCUGACGGAGCAACGCCGCGUGAGCGAAGAAGGCCUUCGGGUCGUAAAGCUCUGUUGUCAGGGAAGAACAAGUACCGGAGUAACUGCCGGUACCUUGACGGUACCUGACCAGAAAGCCCCGGCUAACUACGUGCCAGCAGCCGCGGUAAUACGUAGGGGGCGGGCGUUGUCCGGAAUCAUUGGGCGUAAAGCGCGCGCAGGCGGUCCCUUAAGUCUGAUGUGAAAUCUUGCGGCUCAACCGCAAGAGGUCAUUGGAAACUGGGGGACUUGAGUGCAGGAGAGGGAAGCGGAAUUCCAUGUGUAGCGGUGAAAUGCGUAGAGAUAUGGAGGAACACCAGUGGCGAAGGCGGCUUCCUGGCCUGUAACUGACGCUCAGGCGCGAAAGCGUGGGGAGCAAACAGGAUUAGAUACCCUGGUAGUCCACGCCGUAAACGAUGAGUGCUAGGUGUUGGAGGGGUUUACCCUUCAGUGCUGGAGCUAACGCAUUAAGCACUCCGCCUGGGGAGUACGGCCGCAAGGCUGAAACUCAAAUGAAUUGACGG